AGAGUUUGAUCCUGGCUCAGGAUGAAUGCUGGCGGCGUGGAUAAGGCAUGCAAGUCAAGGGGGCCGUAAGGCAACCGGCAGACGAGGUAGUAACACGUACGAACGCACCCUGUAGUCUGGCAUAGCUCGUCGAAAGACGGGGUAAUUCCGGAUGGUCCCGUAAGGGUAAAGUUUUUCGCUACAGGAGCGGCGUGCGUCAU
rnacentral:rRNA from 1 species